GGGCUUUUCUUUCAUUGCCGUCUUCCCGUCAGCCUCCACUCCACACGACCACUCCAGGUGCUUCCCGUCUGCCGUGCCUCCCUCCGGCCACCGGCGCCGACCACCAGCUAGCGCCGCCGUCUGAAAUACUCACGACCACUCCAGGUGCUUCUCGGAUUUCAAGUUUUCAGAGUUUUCAACUCUGAAAUACUCUUCCCACCGACCACCAGCUAGCGCCGCCGUCUGCUACGAACCAGCGCCACCGUUUGGAACUAACCGGCGCCGCCGCUGCCCCCUAAGACAGCAGGUUAGUAUUUCCUUCUCACUCUCAAACUUGAUAGAUUAGAUAAUAAUGGUGGAUGGGUGUAUUUGUGAUACAUUCUGAUUUCUGAAAUGGAUUUAUGUAAUUAUGCCCCACCCCUAGCUAGUAAGCUCCGCCCCUGUUUGUGUAAGAACUUGUUGAUGGCAUUGUGUGUUGCUUUUCAAAAAAAUUGAAUCUUUUCAAAUUGUUCCAUUAAAAUCAUGAUGACAGAAUUGCUUUUGAAGUAUCAUGAGGUUUCAGAACAAGAUGUCUUGAUUCGAAAAUCAUUUGUUUUAACUUCAGAUUAAGAUUAAAUCAUAGCUGAAGUUUUAUCUGCUAGAUGCAUAUUUACUCCUUGCCAUAGUCUAAGUGUGGACUGAACAGAUGAAUUGGAGUGCAUGUUGAACUACUACAUUAGGAUUAGUAAAUUUCUACUAUAUAAAUCACAUGAAUUUUGUUUACUUUAAUUGUUGCCUAGGUUGGAAAUUCAUAAUUAUUAGAGUUGUUCUGUUUUUUUUUUUUUUAAAUUACAAUUCUCUAUAAAACAUUUUUUUGUUCCAAAUAAUUAUAGGUUAUGAGUUGGUGUACUGGAUAGGACUCCAUCCUUUCUUCUAAAGGUGAGUUCAAAUCCCACAUCCUACAAAAUUCAAUUUUUUUAAAAUUUCAUAAAAUACAAGUUAACCGGUCCAUUAACCGGUUCGGUUACCGGUUAGGAGAUUGCUCCUUAUCCGGUUCCGGUUAACCGGUAAACCGGUUCAAUUAAAAUCGAACCGUUUAACCGAACCGGACCGAUUACCAGCCCUAAAAAAUACACAUAAUUUGUCACUUUUCUGAUUUAUAAUAUAUUAAUAUGACCUUUUAAUUUGAUCAGAAAAUACACUACUUUUUAAUUUGAUUGUAAUUGUUAUAAAUCAAAAAAUUGGCAAACUAUGUGUAUUUUUUGGCAAUAGCCCCAUCAUUUUUUUUUUCCCGAUUAAAAUAUGUUGACCCUAAAUAUUUCGACACACUAGGUUUCAGGCUAGCCUGUCGAACCUGCAAAUUUACGAUUUUUUUACAUGUAUGAUUUUUUAUUGAUAAUCAUAUAAUUGUAAGAAAAAAUAGGCCUUGUUUUUUUUAGUCAAGACACUUCAACUCGUUUUAGAAUUUGAUAUUUUGGGCUAAUCAGUUUGUUUUAUUUUUCGAAAUAAAAUAUGUUGACUCUAAAUAUUUCGACCCACUAGGUUUCAGGCUAACCCAUCGGACCCGCAAAUUUAUGAUUUCUUUACAUGUAUGACUUUUUUUAGGGUAAAUAUCACUUUCUGUCCCAUCGUUUGUUCGAAUUAUUGAUUAUGUUUCAACUUUUCGAUAAUAUCUAAUUGGUACCCAACCUACCAACAUUUUUUUAAUUGUGUCCCUUAAAAAUUUUCCGACGCUCGGAAAUUGACGUGGAACGCUGGAAAUUUAUUACGUGGAAUUAUUAAUCCACUUGGAAUUGCCAACAUUAUUAUAGUACUUUAUUAUACUUAAAAAAAGAGUAAAAUAAUACAUCCCCUAAACUAAACGUCGUCGUAUCCAAUUCAUCAAAAUCCCAAAUCAAAGAACAUAUCCAGAAUUGCAGAUAACUUAAUAGUAAAUGCUCUUGAACAGUUCAAAUUCGAUUUGAGGCAUAAGCAAAUGGGCGGUUCGAAGAAGAAGAAGAAGCGGAGCGGUGGCAGAGGCCACCGCGCCCAGUCAAAGGACCAUCACUCGACUGACGCCGAUAAUUCUAAAAUUUUAACCAAGGAAGUAACUGCGUUGUGAGUUUUUUCUUAUUUUUGAAUUUUUAACGAACACAUUUUAUAUUAUUGUUGUUUUAAUCAUUCUAGUGAACUACUAUGUGUAGAUAUUUUGUUCAGUGAAUGUACGGUCAAUAGUUUGAGCUCCUGAAUCACCUCCUCGUAUCAACAUCAAGCUCAGGUUCCAGAUUUGUGAUAAUUCAUGGACAUUAAACCUUAGGCUUCAUGUACUUGGUGCAGAUGCUUACCAGGUUAUCCAUAUAAAUGCCCGAAGCUGCAGAUAAUACCAGAGAAAAAGCUUAUAAAAAACUAAUGCUGAUAAUCUUUUAUCUUUACUUUAUGAUCAUGUAGGACCUUAGUGAUAGCCAGAGGAGGAGGACGAUUACUAGAUAUGUUCUUUAAUUUGGGAUUUUGAUGAAUUGGAUACGACAGCGUUUAGUUCAGGGGAUGUAUUAUUUUACUCUCUUUUUUUAAGUAUAAUAAAGUAUAAUAAUACUGACAAUUUCAGGUGGAUUAAUAAGUCCAUGUAAUCAAACUCUUCGGGCGCCGAAAAUGUUUUAAGGGACACAAUUAAAAAAAUGUUGGUAGGUUGGGUACCAAUUAGAUAUUAUCGAAAAAUUGGGAUAUAAUCGAUAAUUCGGCCAAACGAUGGGACAGAA
rnacentral:lncRNA from 1 species